UACGGAGGAUGCAAGCGUUAUCCGGAAUGAUUGGGCGUAAAGCGUCCGCAGGUGGCUUUGUAAGUCUGCUGUUAAAGAGUGAGGCUCAACCUCAUAAGAGCAGUGGAAACUACAAGGCUAGAGUACGUUCGGGGCAGAGGGAAUUCCUGGUGUAGCGGUGAAAUGCGUAGAGAUCAGGAAGAACACCGGUGGCGAAAGCGCUCUGCUAGGCCGUAACUGACGCUGAGGCGCGAAAGCGUGGGUAGCAAACGGG
rnacentral:rRNA from 1 species